rnacentral:misc_RNA from 1 species
AGAUAGAAAACUACUCUCCACUGACAGCCGGAAAAACCUCAAAACUGAAGUUGACUUUUCAUAUCACACUCCCAAUUGUCUGCAACUAUUACCCAUUCUGCAAAGUUUUAGUCUUCAUGGGAUAUCAUCAACAGAAAAACCCAGCAUUGGGUUGUAGUGCUAUUGAUGAAUUAGCGUCUACGCGUUGCAACGUCACAAUCUCCCCUGGAGGUCCGAGAUCAAUAAAAAAAGAGAUAGACAUUGACGUCAAAGCAUCAUCUCUACACAGCUAUGAAAGUUUGUAUUACUUAAGAAUUUUUACAGGAGAGAUUGGAGACCCAGAUAUAUGGCACAAUUAUAAAAUAAUAGAAAUACCCCUCCAGAUUGAUCACCCAAAUGGUCAUUUUAAAGGCGCAACUAACUGUAAAAGUAACAACGAUCCACAUAUGACAACAUUUGAUCAAAGGUUUACAUUAAAACAACGAAAUGUAAUAAGGCAGCUACGUGUAAUUGCUUAGUAGCGGCCGAGGUAGAAGACGAUCUUCUUGUCGUUGAUUCUUGCGCAGAAAACCGUAUAUACUAUGGUCAAACAAGAGGGGUGAAGUUCAGGAACAGAAAAGUAACGCUUUUCCAAAAUGGAGAUUUGGCUCGUGGUUUCAACUUAAAAACUGCCCAAGAUGGAAAAGCACUAAAGAUAACAUUACCGAGUGGCACCGUGGUAUCCGUAUCAGAUGGACGUCUAUUUAAUGUAUUGAUAACACCCUCAAAUCUGGAUAAACCAAGAGGAGAUAGGUUUGACGAGAACUACAGGACACGAACUGAAGGAUUAUGCGGUGAAUAUGAUCAGAAUUCUGAAAAUGAACCAGGGAACCUUGAAAAAUGGAGAAUAACAGACACGCGAUUUUUGAAUAACGGGGUUCCACCGAAAGAUACCUUGAGACAAUAUUGUGUUUGUACAUCAAAAGGAAAACUCUCAUGCGCAGAUGCUUGCAAUGUAACGAGCAGUCUUACAAUGAUGGGAAGUGGGUAUUUUACCGACGACGUGUAUCCUACAGAUGAGGACUUGCAGGAAGACAUUUUGGACAAUUUGGAUACAGGUGUCGAAAUGUUCCAUUCCAGUGGAAAAUGGCCAACGGCGUCUGGGUGGACAGAAGAAAACGCCUUGGAAUUUUGUACAGCAGCUAUUAACAGCACGAGUGCAGCAAGUGCUUCACAGAGUCUACCCGAAAGUCUAGAACUUGAGUCCUACAUCAGAGGAUGCGUGCUAGAUAUAAUGCUUACAGAUGGAACUGAAUGGUUAGAAGACACUCUUGAAUCUCUCCGGACAGAGGUAGCCUCUGUGGUUGAACGGAACAUAUCUAUGUGGGAUAUAAACGACGAAGGUGAUCCUGUCGGACCUCCAUCUGAAUUCACGAACCAGUUAUGCCCACGAAAUUGUAGUGAUCAUGGGAAUUGUGUGAAUGGAACGUGCGAAUGCGAUGCAGAACACACAGGAGCAGACUGUGCCCUUGAACGGUCAACUCCCCCGACACUUCUAUUUGUCCCGGAGAGGGGAUUGUGUGACGUACGUUUGAGACCAUGUAGAGCAACGCCGAUAAUGGGAGAAAACUUCGUGGACGCAUCAAAUCUAACUUGUUAUGUGAGACAAUUACAGAUUAGACAAAAUGGAACCACGGAUUUGAACGACGAAAUUCUUGUUACAAAGGCUCAAUUCGACUCAUACCAAAGAAUUAUUUGCCCACUAUUUCCGACUGAUCGAGCUGUACGGCCGAAUUAUACAGAAACACCCAUAACUCCAGAAAUUCCAGCGAUUGGAUUCAGAGUUGAAGUCAGCAAUGAUGGUAAUGUUAAGAGUGACUCUAUUGACCUCGUGUCAUACGACGCAUUGUGUUUGAAUUGUACAGGAUUUGGGUCUACAAAUUGCUCACAAAAUCCGUUACCUCACGAUGGUUACUUAGUACGGUCCGAACAAGGGAUACCUGCUAAACGUAACUCAUUCGAAGACAUCAUAGACCAUAUAAAAGAAAAAGAAUUGCAGAAACGCAGAUUCAAAUAUCGGAUGUUAAUCGCAUUGGGUCUUCUGAUAUUGCUAUUAGUCACAGCGGCUAGCAUCGGAGUAGGAGUAGCAUCUCUUUUUGGUCCUUCCGAUAGUUGGAAUCACUACAACAAUCCCCAGCUGGAGUGGUCCAGAGCAAACAUUACAAAUACAACAAACAGUAUGGGCACUAUUGAGACCUAGCAGUAAUAAUGUGCACAAUGAGCAAUAUGACCAUUUAACAUAAAGGCUUCCAAAGACAAAUGACGAAUUUGCGCCAAAUGACGUCAUGCGUCAAAUGACGUAUUUACGUUGAGUAUUACAGCGUUGCCUUUUGAGUAAUCGUGGACACUGCAGUAAGAAUGGUUUCCAAUAUACUUACAAGAAGAACGAAAUCGACAAGAACAUCAUAAACUGUAUGAUUCUACAUAGCUGGGAUUUUAGCUAUAAGAUUUUAUACAAAAAGAAAAAUAACAUAUUUGUCUGAUAGCAGCACGCUGUGUAAUAGCUAUAGCGUGUGUCACAUCCAUUUUGAUUUGCGAAAGGAAAGUUCUGUAUUUAAGCCUUCUUCCUAUAGCUAAUAGCUGCAAUCUGAAAAAUGAAGAUAUACAGACUUUUAUCCAACGACAUAUUUCUUGUUGUGCCUAUUUUAAUGACAUUUGCACUAUUUAAACAUUUUUAAGUUAUUAUAUUUGGGAAAGAUAUCAUAGUGUGGGAUAAUUCUAAAAAUGAUAACUCUGAUUUUAGAGAGGAAAUGAUCUUUGGAAUAGUUUUUAAAUAUUUCCGUCAUAUGAUAACUUUUCUGUAAAUAUGUAUAUUACAAAUUACAAACCAUUUUAUAUCUAAGAAUUAUAUACAUAGAUUUAUAGUAUUAUAUAAGCCCAUGAUAUAAGCUAUUUGAUUGAAAUAGAGAAAACAUUGAGCUCGUUGUGCCAUCUUUUGUAGGACACAGCACUUUUUGUACAGGGUGUCCCAAAAAGGAAACCGGGAUUUGAUAGACUAGAUGCGAGUGCAAAUAAUCUUGAUUUACUGUAUACGUCAUUGAAAAUUCAAAGUUCAGUCAAACUGACGUCAUAUUUGGAAACUACAUGUAAAAUUACAUCUAGAAAUGUGGUUUUGAAGAGUUUAUCAAAUUUGAUAAGCAAGCCACCGGGUGGCUAAUUCGGGGGAAAUAACAUGGCAGGGUAUUACA